rnacentral:rRNA from 1 species
UACGGAGGGUGCGAGCGUUGUCCGGAAUCACUGGGCGUAAAGGGCGCGUAGGCGGCAUGCCAAGCGUGUGGUGAAAGCCCGGGGCUCAACCCCGGGUCGGCCGUGCGGACUGGCGUGCUCGAGCACUGUAGGGGCGGGUGGAAUUCCGGGUGUAGGCGGUGGAAUGCGUAGAGAGUCCGGAAGAACACCGGUGGCGAAGGCGGCCCGCUGGGCA